GAUGAACGCUGGCGGCGUGCCUAAUACAUGCAAGUAGAACGCUGAAGGAAGGAGCUUGCUCUUUCCGGAUGAGUUGCGAACGGGUGAGUAACGCGUAGGUAACCUGCCUGUUAGCGUGGGAUAACUAUUGGAAACGAUAGCUAAUACCGCAUAACAUUUGGUGUUGCAUGAUAUCUACUUAAAAGGUGCAAUUGCUCCACUACCAGAUUGACCUGCGUUGUAUUAGCUAGUUUGUUAGGUAACGGCCCAACAAAGCGACGAUACCGAGCCGACCUGAGAGGGUGAACGGCCAAACCGGGAAUGGGAAACGGCCCAAAAUUCUACGGGAGGGAGGAGUAGGGGAUCCUCGGCAAUGGACGGAAGGCUGAACGAGCAACGCCGGGGGGGUGAAGAAGGUUUUCGGAUCGUAAAGACCCGUUGAAUGGGAAGAAAGAGUGGGGGAGUGGAAAGUUCACACUGUGACGGUAUCUUACCAGAAAGGGACGGCUAACUACGUG
rnacentral:rRNA from 1 species